rnacentral:rRNA from 1 species
GUGGGGAAUAUUGGGCAAUGGGGGCAACCCUGACCCAGCAACGCCGCGUGAGGGAAGAAGGUUUUCGGAUUGUAAACCUCUGUCCUAUGGGAAGAAGAAAGUGACGGUACCUGAGGAGGAAGCCCCGGCUAACUACGUGCCAGCAGCCGCGGUAAUACGUAGGGGGCGAGCGUUGUCCGGAAUGACUGGGCGUAAAGGGCGCGUAGACGGCUGUCUAAGUCUGGAGUGAAAGUCCUGCUUUCAAGGUGGGAAUUGCUUUGGAGACUGGAUGGCUUGAGUGCGGAAGAGGUAAGUGGAAUUCCCAGUGUAGCGGUGAAAUGCGUAGAGAUUGGGAGGAACACCAGUGGCGAAGGCGACUUACUGGGCCGUAACUGACGUUGAUGCGCGAAAGCGUGGGGAGCGAACAGGAUUAGAAACCCUGGUAGUCC